AGCAGCCGCGGUAAUUCCAGCUCCAAUAGCGUAUAUUAAAGUUGUUGCAGUUAAAAAGCUCGUAGUUGAAUUUCGGGAUUGACGUGAUGGUCAUGCCUUAAGGGGUAUGAACUGUUACAGUUGAUUUCUCACCUUCUGGAGAAACUUGAUGUCCUUUAUUGGGUGUCUUGCGGAUCCAGGACCUUUUACCUUGAAAAAAAUUAGAGUGUUUAAAGCAGGCAUUUUUGCUCGAAUACAUUAGCAUGGAAUAAUAGAAUAGGACGGCAUGGUUCUAUUUUGUUGGUUUCUAGGAUCACCGUAAUGAUUAAUAGGGAUAGUUGGGGGCAUUAGUAUUCAAUUGUCAGAGGUGAAAUUCUUGGAUUUAUUGAAGACUAACUACUGCGAAAGCAUUUGCCAAGGAUGUUUUCAUUAAUCAAGAACGAAAGUUAGGGGAUCGAAGACGAUCAGAUACCGUCGUAGUCUUAACCAUAAACUAUGCCGACUAGGAAUCAGACGAUGUUAAUUUUUUAAUUGACUCGUU
rnacentral:rRNA from 1 species